GAUGAAGAACGUAGCGAAAUGCGAUACGUAAUGUGAAUUGCAGAAUUCAGUGAAUCAUCGAGUCUUUGAACGCGCAUUGCGUCCCCUGGUAUUCCGGGGGGCAUGCCUGUCCGAGCGUCAUUGCUGCCCUCAAGCACGGCUUGUGUGUUGGGCCUCCGUCCUCCUCCCGGGGGACGGGCCCGAAAGGCAGCGGCGGCACCGCGUCCGGUCCUCGAGCGUAUGGGGCUUCGUCACCCGCUCUUGUAGGCCCGGCCGGCGCUUGCCGACACAUCAAUCUUUUUUCCAGGUUGACCUCGGAUCAGGUAGGGAUACCCGCUGAACUUAAGCAUAUCAAUAAGCGGAGGA
rnacentral:misc_RNA from 1 species